CACAGUGCCCGGCACAGAAGGGAGCAGGCAAAGGUGUGUGGAAUGAAUGUCAGGCAUGAGCGAAGCCCUGGAGGAUUCGAGGAGCCCGGGGAGGUGGAGAGGACAGCCAUGCCUCACGCCCAGUGCCGGCUGCCCAUGGCCAGCUCUGAUCCAAGCCCUCCUGCGACCACACAGAGGAAGAAUCCCGUAUCAGAGAGCGCCACCUGGCUGGAGUCACACCGGCUGGAAAAUUCUAUCCGUCGGCCGGUGAUUCCUGUGAUAGAGGGGUAUAGGAUGUUCUACAACUUUCAUCUUGCACCUGGAUCACUAUCCUGAUCAAGAACAAACAUCCGCACUCAAUUUAUAGUGGACUGCCUAGUCACUAUCUUGAUUCCCAGAACUAGAAUAUUAAGGACUGUUUGGUUAUCUAGCAAUUUAUCAAUAAACAUGUAUUGACAUCAGUGGGGCAAGCGCUGGGCCAGGGACUCAUGCUGCAGAUCUCAUCUAUGUCUCACUUUCAACACACCUGGUCUCAUCCUGUCCUCACGACUGCCCCCACCUUCCUACGUGCUGCGCUCCCACCAGGGAACAGCACGGACCACGCAGAGCUGCCGUGUCCGGAAACUCAUUCUCAGAGGCCUCUCCCUGGCGUGGAAGAUGUCACUCUGCCCAGGGAGAGUGUGACCCCGCUGCUCUCCCCCAUGCGGAGAACACCCUGAAGGACAGCCCCUUCGCCAUAAACCCGGGUUGGCCCAAGACCCAGCCUUCAGCUUUACAAGAACCACCUUGUGGGAUUUCUCAUCUUUCCAAUGUCGCCUUGGCCAGCAGUGCCCUGAGACCAGCCUUCCAGGCCUGUUUUAGCACUUCUGCCUCCAGCUUCUGCGGCAGCAAUAAUGGCUAGAGCGUGAGAUGCUAUUAGUGCUUCGCCCGCACACCUAGGCUUCUUGGGAAUGGCCGUGUUAGUGCUGUUUCAGUUGCACAUGAAGACGAGGUGACAGCGCGUCUCCCAGUUUCCCUUUUCUGCACGGAGGCCCCCAAGUCCACGUUUUGCUCUCACAAGAACGCCAAGCACCUGGGAGAUGAGGAAAAGAAUCAGGAAUGCGGGCUUUCUCAUUUAUCCUCUGAAAACAUCUUUUAACUUCAACUUUAUUGUGUGAGACAAUUUUAUGAGUUCCUUUAAGAAACUCCCAGUCUAGACAAAUAAACAGAUACAUUA